UCGAAGGAUGGAAUUACAUAAAAUUGUUACAAAAAAAAUUAAAUUGUAAAUAGAAACAUUUGAACAAAAAGUAUAAGCAAGGGCAACCGGGAUCCAGUUAACCAAAAGUUUUAAAUAUGGCCCAAAUCAAAUCUCACAAGGCAAGCCCAUAAAUAAAAAAUUUCGAUAGGGUUUCACUAUAUAAAGUCGCAAAACCCUUAUUUCACCUGUUUCCUAUCCAAACUUCCUUUCCUGCCUCAUCGGCUGCUGUAUCUGAUUAGGGUUUUGAGGUUGCCGUCUUUUUUCAUCCUUUCACCAUGAGGGCCAAGUGGAAGAAGAAGCGUAUGAGGAGGUUGAAGAGGAAGCGUCGAAAGAUGAGACAGAGAUCCAAGUAGGAGACGAUCGAUCUUCAACUGCUGCGGUUACUCUUCUAGUUUUUAAUUUUCCGUCGUUUCGUUUAAAUCUUAGCCGUUCGAUUAGCUAUUUUCUAUGGCUGUUAUCGGAGAGUUUUAGGUACUCAGUUUUUUGUGUCAUGUAAUUUGAUACAGAUAAACAUGAAUUUUGCAGUAAUCUUAUCGAAACUUUUGCUCUUAA